AAUCAACGCUGGCGGCGUGCCUCAGACAUGCAAGUCGAACGCGAAAGUCCCCUUCGGGGGACAAGUAGAGUGGCGCACGGGUGAGUAACACGUAGGUAAUCUACCUUUGGAUGGGGAAUAACAACCGGAAACGGUUGCUAAUACCGCAUAAUGCAGCGGCACCUAAUGGUGACAGUUGUUAAAGCGGGGGAUCGAAAGACCUCGCGUCUGAAGAGGAGCCUGCGGCGGAUUAGCUAGNGGUAAGGUAAUGGCUUACCAAGGCUACGAUCCGUAACCGGCCUGAGAGGGCGGUCGGUCACACUGACACUGACAUACGGGUCAGACUCC
rnacentral:rRNA from 1 species